CAGGACGAACGCUGGCGGCGUGCCUAAUACAUGCAAGUCGAACGGUCUUUCUAUGGAAGCUUGCUUCCACUGAGAAGAUAGUGGCGAACGGGUGAGUAACAACGUGGGUAACCUGCCCAUAAGAGGGGGGAGUAACAUCCGGAAACGGGUGCUAAUACCGCAUAGUUUUCUUGAUCGCAUGAUCGGGAAAGGAAAGACGGCCUUUGUGCUGUCGCUUAUGGAUGGACCCGCGGCGUAUUAGUUAGUUGGUGAGGUAACGGCUCACCAAGACGAUGAUACGUAGCCGACCUGAGAGGGUGAUCGGCCACAUUGGGACUGAGACACGGCCCAAACUCCUACGGGAGGCAGCAGUAGGGAAUCUUCCGCAAUGGACGAAAGUCUGACGGAGCAACGCCGCGUGAGUGAAAGAAGGUUUUCGGAUCGUAAAACUCUGUUGUCAGAGAAGAACAAGUUGGAGAGUAACUGCUCCAGCCUUGACGGUAUCUGACCAGAAAGCCACGGCUAACUACGUGCCAGCCGCGGC
rnacentral:rRNA from 1 species